rnacentral:rRNA from 1 species
AUUGAACGCUGGCGGCAGGCCUAACACAUGCAAGUCGGGCGAGCGGCGCACGGGUGAGUAAUGUAUGGGGAUCUGCCUGAUGGAGGGGGAUAACUACUGGAAACGGUAGAUAAUACCGCAUACCAUCAGAUGAACCCAUAUGGGAUUAGAUUUUAGGUGUGGUAACGGCUCACCUAGGCGACGAUCCCUAGCUGGUCUGAGAGGAUGAUCAGCAACACGGGGACUGAGACACGGCCCAGACUCCUACGGGAGGCGGCAGUGGGGAAUAUUGCACAAUGGGCGCAAGCCUGAUGCAGCCAUGCCGCGUGUAUGAAGAAGGCCUUCGGGUUGUAAAGUACUUUCAGUCGGGAGACGUUACCGACAGAAGAAGCACCGGCUAACUCCGUGCCAGCAGCCGCGGUAAUUC